GUAACGCCCGCCGUUGUUAGGGAACGGAUGAUGCGGUUGCUAGGAGCCGAGGCCCGCCCUAGCUCGAGGGUAGAUGAGCUGAUGGACCCGGAAAAAGUGGAAGGAAUUCCUGGAGGUGGCAGUGCACGAACCUGGGAACCGGAGGAAUCAGCUGGGGGCAUAGAGGGGUGGGACGAAGGCGAAGUUCAUAAGGCGAUGAGGUUCCAAGUCAUCGGGGAGGAAAAUUGGGAAAAAUAAAGGCUAUUGCUGUCUGAAGUCAGCAAGCGAGUCUCCUUCAAAAGCCCUGAAUGCUCCGGGACCAUCAGCUUUCCUACCUCCCUGCAGACAGAGAGCAUCACCUAGUCAUUUUCUUUAUGUUUCCAUCUCGUGGAAUAUUUCCAUCUAUUUCCAGCUAAGCUAGCUAUUGAAGAUUCUGUUCCAGAAUUCAAUAUGUGCUUUUUUAAAAAGUGAACAGUAUUAAAUCGAGAUUCAUAGUUUCACAUUCAA